rnacentral:lncRNA from 1 species
CUGGAGGCUUGGAGAUGGCAGCGCUGGCACCCACUGCUCCCAAAAUGUGGGACCCCCACAUAAGCAAAGGGUUCUCUGUGUAACAGCUCUAGCUGUCCUGGAAUUCAUUUUGUUGACGAGGCUGGCCUUGAAUUCUCAGAGCUCCACCUGCCUCUGCAUCCCAAGUGCUGGGAUUAAAGGCAUGAGCCACCACCACACAGCAGAUCUUCACCAUUUCUAUGGACAACAAAUACGCCCAGCCUAACACACCAUUUCUAUGUUAAUCUCGUUUAAAAUAUCUUUAUCUACCCUUUUCAUUUUUAAGCAGUAAAGCCUGCCAACUUUUGACAGACUCAAAAGAACAUUCCCUACUCCAAAUCUGG